CGGUGGCGAACUGGUCGGGGCUGAUGAAGUGGAUGUGGGUGUCGAUGCCGCCGGCCGUGACGAUCCGGCCCUCGCCCGAGAUGACCUCGGUGCUGGGCCCGAUCACGAUCGUGACGCCGUCCAUGAUGUUCGGGUUGCCGGCCUUGCCGAUCGCGAGGAUGCGCCCGUCGCGCAGCCCGAGGUCCGCCUUGUAGAUCCCGGUGUAGUCGAGGACGACCACGCUCGUGAUCACCGUGUCCGCCACCGCGAGGUCUCCGGGCGCACCGUCGCGCACGGUGUUGCCGUCCUGGCCCAUGCCGUCGCGGAUG
rnacentral:sRNA from 1 species